rnacentral:rRNA from 1 species
GAUGAACGCUGGCGGCGUGCCUAAUACAUGCAAGUCGAGCGAACGGACGAGAAGCUUGCUUCUCUGAUGUUAGCGGCGGACGGGUGAGUAACACGUGGAUAACCUACCCAUAAGACUGGGAUAACUUCGGGAAACCGGAGCUAAUACCGGAUAAUAUUUUGAACCGCAUGGUUCAAAAGUGAAAGACGGUCUUGCUGUCACUUAUAGAUGGAUCCGCGCUGCAUUAGCUAGUUGGUAAGGUAACGGCUUACCAAGGCAACGAUGCAUAGCCGACCUGAGAGGGGGAACCGGCACACCUGGACUUGAGCACGGGCCCAGAUCCUUAGGGAAGCAAGAGUAAGGGAUCUUCCGGAAAUGGGGGAAGCCUUGCGGGACAACGCCGCGGGGGGUAAUGAAGGCUUCGGGUCGGAAAACUCUUGUUAUAGGGAAGAACAUAUUUGUAAGGUAAUUAUCAAAGCUUUAAGGGACCUAAUCAGAAAGGCACGGCUAACUUCGGG